rnacentral:tRNA from 1 species
AACUCUAAAGUAUAGAAGUAUAUUUGAUUUCGGCUCAAAAGGCCGUGAAGUGGGGUUA